AACGCUGUGUGUAGUUGGUUGACAUCGGGUCAGAUCUAUUUCUGAAAGCAUUUGGUCCCCUUCAACCAGCUGUAGCAGUGGUUGAAG
rfam:Drosophila virilis strain TSC#15010-1051.87 Ctg01_16278, whole genome shotgun sequence.